UACGUAGGGGGCGAGCGUUGUCCGGAAUUACUGGGCGUAAAGGGUGCGUAGGCGGCCGACUAAGUCAGAUGUGAAAUACCACGGCUCAACUGUGGGGGUGCAUUUGAAACUGAUUGGCUUGAGUGCAGGAGAGGAAAGUGGAAUUCCUAGUGUAGCGGUGAAAUGCGUAGAGAUUAGGAGGAACACCAGUGGCGAAGGCGACUUUCUGGACUGUAACUGACGCUGAGGCACGAAAGCGUGGGGAGCGAACAGG
rnacentral:rRNA from 1 species